ACUAAAGUCAGGUUAGGCCAAGGCACUACUUCAUGGUCACAAAGCAUGGCCCAUAGGCCAACUGAGGACCUGAUGACCUCCAGGGGAAAAAGGAACUUGUGUGCUUCUGGUACACUCAUUGUUCUAUAGGACAUUCUCUGUACAAGGGACACAGCUCCAUCUGGUAGACUGUGGUGAAGUGUUCCAGUCUGUUGGUUCUCCACAGCACUGGGGAGUUCAUGUCUUGAGUUCUUGAGUUCCUACCAGGAGACACCCAAAACCUCUUGCUUCCCUGCCCCUGAAGGCAGUAGUGCUGGGGCUUGCAUGCCUGCAGGGUGGUCCAGCAUCCUGGGCUAUCAGGCCUGACCUACCUGCUGCAGGCUGGAGUGGUUAGGCUGUUGUUAUGGCCCUGACCCAGGCUGACAGGCCCUUCCCUCAAAGGCCAGCCAGGUCCUUGUGCUUUAUUACCAGGCUAAUGAUGGUGAUUAGGCCAACAAGGGCUGCCUGCAGCCUGGCCCUCUUCAACCCAUCUUGCUGAGGAGGGCAGUGCUGAGCAAUUGGGGGAGACAACACCUGUAUGGCCCAACUAUGGCCCUAAUCUGGUUGCUGUCCACCUGCCCUAAAAAGAAAGGGCAGAGUCAGUAAGACUGCCAGCUGCAGGACAGGCAGUGUGACCUCAGUCUGCACCUGCCCCUCUGAGCAGGGAUAACAAGGUACAGAGUUGAGUGAAUACCAGCUGGAUUUGGUGUCACUCAAGAGGCUGAGACAGGAGGAUUAUCGUGAGCUCAAAGCCAACCUAGUCUACAUAGUGAGUUCCAGGCUAACCUCAGCUACCUUGCAGAAACCAUUUCUCAAAAACUCAAAUAAAUGAGCAGGUAGUUUCUUAUGUCCUGUGAAGCCUUCCUCAGUGCUGGGCUUCAGGUAACCAUAGUAGCAGAUUCUUCCUGUUGCCCUCUGGGAAUCCACUGAAUUAUGGGGGACUAUCCCUCCAGGCUUUGGGGGGGGGACUUUUGUGGUUUAUGGCUGGCUGGCUGUACUUCAUGUGUAAGGAAUGCCAGGGGGGGGGCAGUGUGGGGGCAGAGCCACUCUCCUGACACACCUCACCCCCCCUGGAUGCCUGGCAUGUCCUGUCAGGAUCCAUGUCCCCUGGAGACAGCCAUGUUCUUCCCAGAUGCUCUCUUCUGGGAUACCCAGCUCUGUAAGGAUGCUGAAUCCCAGCUGGGAGACAAGAAUGAAGUAUUUUCUGUCUUCAUAGAUAGGUACUCCUUUUCAUUUGAACACAAAGCUGAGAUAUAUUCCCUUUCCCCCUCUGCUGCAGAACAGAGCUGGGUCAGACUCUAGGAAACUCUUCAGAUGAAUCCCAGGUUUACACGGCACUAUCCACACUGAGAGAAUCAGGACUUCAGCCAAGGAGAGCUUCCUGCGGGCUGCCAUUUUGAAUGAGGGUCCAUCUUUCUGAGCACCUGGCAUGGGUCAGCCUGUCUCCUCUGAUCUGGCACUGUGUUCCUGUCUCCUCCACACCAAACAAAGUGCCUGGCCCAGACUGUCGAUACACCAAGCACAGACCCAGGAAUCUCCUAUAUCAACUCUUGGCUCAGCUCUGCUAGGACCUGGAGGUCCGGGGCUACAGUAUCUGGAAUUUCAGCUCUUUUUUUGGAUGGAAAGUCAAGAGAAAGAUGCUUCGGUCCCUGGAAGACUGUUAUCUGGCGUCCUCUGGAGGCUUCCUCUGGAACUGCAUCAAACUGACGCUAGCUUUGGUGCUUAGGCUCAUUGCACUGACUUCAGGAGUACGUGGGUAGCGUGGGGGUGAGGCUCAUUGCUGAGAGGACUACUCUCCUUUGAGCUUCAAGAACCCAUCUCAGGAAAGGUGCUUAAGCCUAGGGUGGGACUAUCCCAGGAUCUCCCUCAGACAGGCUCUCACCUCACUGCCUUUGGCCAGGGCAAAGCCCCCACCCAGCAAGAUCAGGAUAUUCCAGGGCAUCUUAUCGUUCACUGUCUUCCAGGUGAGGAUGGCAGGAGGAGCCUUCAGCUUCCCUGGUUUUUCUACUCCCCAAGCAGACAAGGAUGAUCACCAAAAGUCAAUAGGCCUCCCCUCCCCUCCUUCCUAAGUGGGUUCCUAUCAGAGCUUAAGGCAGGUAGAAGGGAGCCCUCAGUCUCCCAUCUCUGUAGGAUUCCAAGUCUGUCCUUGAGUCCCUGUGUCUUUGGCAGGUCACCCAAAGGAGCUUUGCUGGCUCCUGCCAAAUGUGGUCAAAGGCUAUAUACCUGCAGACAGGGGCUGCCGGAGACCCUUCCCAGCCCCAGGCCAGAUCUUCAGGCCUCCCCCUCUCCUGCUUUGGAAGGUCUCACCUUUGCCCUUUUUCAUUGGCGAAAGCUGUGUCACCCCAGCCUGG